rnacentral:rRNA from 1 species
UACGUAGGGUGCAAGCGUUAAUCGGAAUUACUGGGCGUAAAGCGUGCGCAGGCGGUGAUGUAAGACAGGUGUGAAAUCCCCGGGCUUAACCUGGGAACUGCAUUUGUGACUGCAUCGCUGGAGUGCGGCAGAGGGGGAUGGAAUUCCGCGUGUAGCAGUGAAAUGCGUAGAUAUGUGGAGGAACACCGAUGGCGAAGGUAACCACCUGGGCAUCAGCUGACACUCAUGUGCGACAGCGUGGGGAGCGAACCGG